CGCGGGGACCCGCCCGGGCCGUCCCCGCGCCCGGACCCUCGGCAUCCGCGCGGCUGCGAGACAGGCGACGGCGCGCCAGAGUGUCGCAUGGCAUAAGAUGGUGUGAGCUGAAGGAUGGCCGGCGCGACAGGCGGCCCCCGGGGCCUGCGCAGCCCUCCGUGUCCGUCUCCACGUGGCUCAGCUCGCUGCGUUCGUCGUCCGCCUCGUCGCCCGCGCCCGCGCGCCGCCCGCCGGUGCCCGAGCAAACGCUACGGUCCAUGGUGGACAGGGUGGAGUAGCCCGAGACGAUGGAGCGCGUGUCCGCCGCAGGCCGUUCGUCGGGUGCCGUCGGGGGGCUGAGGCGUCCGGGGGCCUCCUCGGCUGCGGGGCCUGGCAGCUGCCCCUCGGGUGGCUCCUGCGUCCCCACCGCAGCCUUGUGCGCCUCCUGCUCGGAGUCAUCGUCGGUGCUGCUGCCCAGGCCUCGCGCCUCCCGCCGCUUCUUCCUUUUGCGGUUGACCGCAGAGAUGAAGGAGAUCGCCAGCAUCUCCCGGGCGUAAGGCUCUUUCUUGGGGACCCAGGAACUCUGUGCAAGGAGACAGCGAGGGUUGAGAACUGCUGCUCUGGAGGCACUUACAGAGGACAGCACUGUUGAGCAGAGAGCCAGCGGAGCAGAGUGGCCUUCUGAGGCUGCCUGCAACCCACCUCAGACUGACUCAGUGGAGGCCCCCUGCCCACCAGCAGGACCCAGAGGCUGACUGACCACCUGUUUCCUCCUUCUUACUACCCUUGGAGAUCUGAAUGCUGAGUCAUCAGGGAGUGUCACUGUUGGAAAGGAUUGGAAGGAUGAAGAGGUCUGGCCUUGUUGAAGGAAGUGUGUUACUGAGGGGUUGGUUUCAAAGCCCCUACCAAGCCCAGAGUCUUCCUUUCUUUGCCUCUGAAUCAGGAUGUAAUUGUCAGCCUACAUGCCACCAAGCUUCCUGUCAUGAUGACAGUGGAUUAAACCUCUGAAAGUAUAAGGAAGCUGCAAUUCGGAAAGAAUUACCCAACAUCAUAAAAUAAGUAGCAAAGCCAGGACUCAAACUCAGGACUUUCUGCAAUGAGAGCUGUUCUCAAGUCACACUGCCCCCCAAACCACCAGCCUCUUCUACAUCAGAUGCCUCUCCACCCACCACCUAGGUUAGCUUCUUGGCUUUUCUUCCCCAGGCACACAGUAUUUCCCACCUUCCACCCCACAGGAGCCUCAACCCACCCACCCCCAGUCCAACUUCCGUCCUCUUGACCAUAAACUGCAGUGUGCUGCCUUGUCCAGGCAAAGCACGUUUAGGAAGCCAUGGCACUAACCUUGGACUUGGCUGAGCUACAGGUGGUGGAAUCUGCUGGCAAAAGAAAGAAAACUGAAGUUAGACCAGGAAAGGUCAAAGGUUCAAAGAUGAAGGCGUUUGUUCAUUUGCUCUCCCCAGGCCCUAGGAGGCCCCUGGCUCGGCUGGCAUUUUCCAUGGAUUGGCCCCAUCAGAAGAUGUUGUUAGCUACCCACUUCUUUUAGAGGCAGGAAGUGACAUCAGGUUGUGGGCCACUGAGUCCUCACUUGCCCAGGGUUAAGGACAAAGGGGACU